AUAAUCAAAAUUAUUUAAAUACUAUAGAUUCAAGAUAAUUUCAUUUCAAUUAAAUAUAAAACAUAAAGCAUAUAAAAAAAUAUACUCAAGUUAAUUUUCUCUUAUAUAAUCAAGAUUAAUAAAAAAUGAUACAUUGAUGAAAUUUUGUCACGACUUGGUACUCUCCUCAAGCCCGUGACAACCGCCGCGACGUCCCGGUAGAUAUUCGUUACCCGGAGUGUCAACCGGAACCCCGCAAGGCUUUAGUACCAUUUUUUUUUCAUCUCCCCUGUGAGUAAUCAUCGCCAAACCUCGUUUUUAAAGAAUUUUAAGCUUUUUCCCUUUCAAAAUCGUGGAAAAAUAAUUUUCGCCUCACAGAGGCGUUUUCGUCAUUUUUCCUUGAAAUUUUCAAAACCCUACUAAAGAUGUAGUAGAUGAGUGGAAAACACAUAUUUCAUGAUUUAAAAUAAAUUUGGGUGUCUAAAACAUUUAUUAAAAAUGAUAUUGCAACUAUUUGAAUAAAAUAAAAAUAUUCAAUAAAAUAUUCUAAUUUCUUGUAAAACAAUAUUUAUAGAGUCAUCGGUAAAUAAUUUUUUGUAAUGUAAAAGCUAAAUAAAUUCAUACGUACUAUAAUACAGAUAAUUGGGAUAUGAAAUUUACUUUACAGUGACUCGUGGGCUCACAAGGAACAAAAGUGUACAAAGGCAGUAAACCUACAGUUUUUGUAGUAAAGUCGACUAUAAUCCCUGACGAUAUCUGCUAUCCACAGGCUACCUCAGGCCUGAAAUGGUNCUCGUGGGCUUACAAGGAACAAAAGUGCACAAAGGCAGUAAACCUACAAUUUUUGUAGUAGUAAAGCCGUCUAUAAUCUUUGACGAUAUCUACUAUCCACAGGCUACCUCGGGCCUGAAAUGGUUGAAAAAGAGGGUGGUGAGAUUAUAAAAUCCCAGUGAGUAAACAACUACCAUCUAAAUCAUCUAAAGUCGAGUAAAUAGAGACAGAUAAAACAGUUUAACAUACUGAAAUUCAUCACCUUUCAACUUGUUUCAACCAAAUAAAAUCAAUUCAUAUAAAUCGAGUAAUUAACAUGGCUUAUGAAUUUCUUAAGACUUUGGCUCGUGCCAAAAUCAUUAUCAUACUCAGUCAUCAGGGAUACCUUGGCCGAGGGCUAUCCCAAACCGAGUCCGCUAAGGUUGUUAAAAAGUUAUGUACGCAUAAAUCAUAUUUUUAUUUUAAAAAUAUAGCAGUUCCUUGGCGUUAGCGGAAUUCAUCAUCACGAUGUGGUUUGGCAUGAAGUGAACUCUAAAGUUAUACCUCGGGAGUUACCCUACUCGCCUUUCCAACCGAGGUAAGAAUAUAACCAGGUUCCGUGCCUCUCUAAUAGGCUAGUCCACAGAAUCAGCCCACUGCAGCAAGCUAAACCCACAAUACAAUAAAAUUUAAUAGCAUGACAUGACAAUUUUAUCAUUAUCCAACCUAGCAAGACAAACAACAAUUUAUAUAUUUCAACACAAAUACCAAUUCAACCAUUCAUGCCAAUAUUAUCAUAAGCCAUUCAAUUCAAACCAUGAUUUAUAAACACAGUAAUUAGUCUCCAAUUACUCCAUUUUCAAAACCAUCUUUCAAUUUCAAGAUAAUUUUAUAAAAUCAUUUCAUUAAAUCACAUUUUAGUUACAAAACACAAAGAUUUACCAUUUAACUUAUUUUCCAUAAAAUCACAAAAUCGGAUAAAAACCAUUUUAGAUAAUUAAGAUGAUAGUAAGGUUACUCACAGUACUAGGAGUUCGAUAUACUCCUAUUCCCGAUCUUCGGGCACAAUCUCUAUACCCUUGUUAGAGGGCUCACCACCUAUACAUCAUACGUGACACGAAUUUCAAUAAAUUGUGUCAAUUUAUCAUAAACCAUUUCAGGCUCUAUAAAUCUAUAUGAAUGCACGAAAUGUGAUGCAAAAUGUCCAAAUAGCCGUUUAAAUACGGUAUUCGACCUAAUUCGUACUAUUCUUGGUGUAAUUGGCUAAAACCUCUAAUUUAACUCCAAAUCGAUUUCUUUCACUUUCUACACUCCAAUUAUACUUAAAAUACCUCAAUGACUAUGAAUAUGAUUCAAUUUAUCAGUCCGAACCAUAAAUUGCACAUGUCUAUACAUUAGAUAAAAAUUUAGAUUUUCAUGCCAAAAUUUCCCAUUAAAUUUCUAGCCUCACCAAUCAUUAAAUACCACUAAAAUAUCAUGAAAUAUCAUCAAUUUCAGCCUCAAUAUCCUCCCUAGAAAAUUCGGCCUCUUGUGGGUUUGUGAAGAACAAAGUGAUUAUUUGCUAGAUUUUCAUACUUUCCAUUACCAAACAACCAAAAACACUUAAUUAGCUUGAAAUCUAACAAAAUCAAUGCUCAAAACCUCUCCUCUCAAAUUCAGCCAGCAUGGGUUCAUCAUGCAAACUUGAGUUCUAAGCAUGAAAAAUGAACAAGAAAGCAUGGGUAGUGUAAAUCACAAUAUAAAAUAACAAAAUUUUACCUUUAUUAGCUUAAUUCCUUGAAAUCCAACACUUUUUCUUCAAUUUUCCCACCUAGGGUUUGUGUUCUUUCCUUUCCUCUUCACUUCAUGCUUUGAUCGGCCAUAUGGGUGAGACUAAGAGAGUUUUAAAUAGAUUUUACAAGGAAAUUC
rnacentral:lncRNA from 1 species